CUAAGUCAUUAGUAAAACUGUUAAAGGUAGUUUCACUGGAGGAAACAUACCUGCAUUACACAUGUGAAAAAAGUCUUGCUCUUUUCUAUCUAUUUUCCCCAAUGAUGUAAUGGACUAUCUUAGAACUCUUACACAAUGUAAUACCUUAGCCCUCAACCCAAAUUCUACAAUUACUCAAAUUGAAAGGGAAGAUGAAAGAUGAUAAUGAUUUGUAUUUGCUUUAUAGUGUGAUCCACUUUUUUAAAGGCACAAACUUUUUGUAUUCCUAUUUACUAGAAUCAUGUAUUUAACUUUCAAAUCGCAAACUGGGUUGAUUCCUUCUUUUUAAAACCAC
rnacentral:lncRNA from 1 species